CCAUAGUAACCAGGCUCCAAAUGGGUGUGGUAGGUAAACUCAAGGGCCAGCACCAAAACACUCUUGGAUUCUUAAAGGAAGGAGGGUAUGCCUACUAGUCUCCAUAUAAACCAGGCUCCUCACAGAAGAUGAAUGUGUACUAGUGGAUGGGUUUUUACAAGAGCAAAAUGAGGAAGAAUCUCAUGGGCCUAUCAGCAUCCUAAGUAGAUGCUGACCUUUUAUCCAGGGACUGAUAUAAGCUCUCAGGAAGAGAAUGGGGAGGAAUACAUUUGGAAAUGGUACCCAGCUACUAUUGAUGAGCUCAGGUCACCUAGCCCAGCUGAAUCACAUCUUCUGAUUCUGAAAGAACUGGAAAAAUGUGAUAUCACUGCCAGUGAUAUCUGAAAGACAGAGAAGAAUGGGAGCCGGACUAAAGCCUUGGUGAAAGGCAAAUGGCCCAAUUUCUUUAAAAAAAGGAAUAGGGUGGAAUCUGCUAACGGCAUUU